rnacentral:lncRNA from 1 species
GCUUGUCAACAUCUCCCUUCAAUUGCAGUGCCCAGAAUUGGACACAGUAUUCCAGGUGUGGUCUGACCAAGGCAGAAUAGAGAGCAAUCUUCAGAAGUCCAUGAACCAGGAACGAUGGAACAAGCCAGUGACAAGGACUAAACUGGAAAAUCAAGACAUCAAAGGGCAAACCAGGAUACAAGGUCAGAACAAUGAAAAUCUCAUCACUGGGCUUCUCUCCAGGGAUGCUACUCAGUAUGGACUACAAUCAAGCCAAAGCACUAAUCAAACGACGUAUUUCAGACACAGA